GACGUAGGGCGCGAGCGUUGUCCGGAUUUAUUGGGCGUAAAGAGCUCGUAGGCGGCUUGUCGCGUCGACUGUGAAAACCCGCGGCUCAACCGUGUGGCUUGCAGUUGAUACGGGCAGGCUAGAGUUCGGUAGGGGGAGACUGGAAUUCCUGGUGUAGCGGUGGAAUGCGCAGAUAUCAGGAGGAACACCGGUGGCGAAGGCGGGUCUCUGGGCCUUACCUGACGCUGAGGAGCGGAAAGCCGUGGGUAGCGAACAGG
rnacentral:rRNA from 1 species